CCUACGGGAGGCAGCAGUGGGGAAUAUUGGGCAAUGGGCGCAAGCCUGACCCAGCAACGCCGCGUGAAGGAAGAAGGCUUUCGGGUUGUAAACUUCUUUUCUCAGGGACGAAGAAAGUGACGGUACCUGAGGUAUAAGCCACGGCUAACUACGUGCCAGCAGCUGCGGUAAUACGUAGGUGGCAAGCGUUAUCCGGAUUUUUUGGGGGUAAAGGGCGGGUAGGCGGGAGCGCAAGUCAUAUGUGAAAACUCAGGGCUCAACCCUGAGCCUGCAUUUGAUACUGUGUGUCUUGAGUGCUAGAGAGGCAAGCGGAAUUCCAUGUGUAGCGGUGAAAUGCGUAGAUAUACGGAGGAACACCAGUGGCGAAGGCGGAUUGCUGGACAGUAACUGACGCUGAGGCGCGAAAGCGUGGGGAGCAAACAGGAUUAGAUACCCCAGUAGUC
rnacentral:rRNA from 1 species